AGCAGCCGCGGUAAUUCCAGCUCCAAUAGCGUAUAUUAAAGUUGUUGCAGUUAAAAAGCUCGUAGUUGAAUUUCGGGAUCAAUAUGUCGGUCGUGCCUUCGGUACGUACUGGCAUCAUUGAUUUCUCCCUUCUGACGAACCACGAUGUCAUUAAUUUGGUGUCAUGGGGAGUCAGGACUGUUACUUUGAAAAAUUAGAGUGUUUAAAGCAGGCUCACGCUUGAAUACAUUAGCAUGGAAUAAUGAAAUAGGACGUUUGACCCUAUUUUGUUGGUUUCUAGGAUCAACGUAAUGAUUAAUAGGGAUAGUUGGGGGCAUUAGUAUUCAAUUGUCAGAGGUGAAAUUCUUGGAUUUAUUGAAGACUAACUACUGCGAAAGCAUUUGCCAAGGAUGUUUUCAUUAAUCAAGAACGAAAGUUAGGGGAUCGAAGACGAUCAGAUACCGUCGUAGUCUUAACCAUAAACUAUGCCGACUAGGGAUCGGAUGAUGUUUAAUUUUUUAAGUGUACUCAGUUCGGUCCG
rnacentral:rRNA from 1 species